CCUACGGGUGGCAGCAGUGGGGAAUAUUGCACAAUGGGGGAAACCCUGAUGCAGCGACGCCGCGUGAGUGAAGAAGUAUUUCGGUAUGUAAAGCUCUAUCAGCAGGGAAGAAAAUGACGGUACCUGACUAAGAAGCCCCGGCUAACUACGUGCCAGCAGCCGCGGUAAUACGGAGGGGGCAAGCGUUAUCCGGAUUUACUGGGUGUAAAGGGAGCGUAGUCGGCCAAACAAGUCAGAAGUGAAAGCCCAGGGCUUAACCCGGGGACUGCAUUUAAAACUGCCGGGCUGGAGUGAAGGAGAGGUAAGCGGAAUUCCUAGUGUAGCGGUGAAAUGCGUAGAUAUUAGGAGGAACACCAGUGGCGAAGGCGGCUUACUGGACUGUAACUGACGUUGAGGCUCGAAAGCGUGGGGAGCAAACAGGAUUAGAUACCCGAGUAGUC
rnacentral:rRNA from 1 species